UGCUUGCAGAUUGAUGGCGACCGGCGCACGGGUGCGUAACGCGUAUAGAACCUACCUUUAACUUAGGGAUAGCCCAGAGAAAUUUGGAUUAAUACCUUAUAGUAUUAUUGAUUGGCAUCGAUUAAUAAUUAAAGAUUUAUUGGUUAGAGAUGGCUAUGCGUCUUAUUAGCUAGUUGGUUAGGUAACGGCUAACCAAGGCAACGAUAAGUAGGGGUCCUGAGAGGGAGAUCCCCCACACUGGUACUGAGACACGGACCAGACUCCUACGGGAGGCAGCAGUGAGGAAUAUUGGACAAUGGAGGCAACUCUGAUCCAGCCAUGCCGCGUGUAGGAAGACUGCCCUAUGGGUUGUAAACUACUUUUAUAGAGGAAGAAACCCCGGUAUGUAUACCGGUCUGACGGUACUCUACGAAUAAGGAUCGGCUAACUCCGUGCCAGCAGCCGCGGUAAUACGGAGGAUCCAAGCGUUAUCCGGAAUCAUUGGGUUUAAAGGGUCCGUAGGCGGGUUUAUAAGUCAGUGGUGAAAGUUUGCGGCUCAACCGUAAAAUUGCCAUUGAUACUGUAGAUCUUGAAUUAUUGUGAAGUGGUUAGAAUGUGUAGUGUAGCGGUGAAAUGCAUAGAUAUUACACAGAAUACCGAUUGCGAAGGCAGAUCACUAACAAUUGAUUGACGCUAAGGGACGAAAGCGUGGGUAGCGAACAGGAUUAGAUACCCUGGUAGUCCACGCUGUAAACGAUGGUUACUAGCUG
rnacentral:rRNA from 1 species